rnacentral:rRNA from 1 species
GCAGCAGUGAGGAAUAUUGCGCAAUGGGGGAAACCCUGACGCAGCAACGCCGCGUGUGGGAAGAAGGCCUUCGGGUCGUAAACCACUUUUGCACGGGACGAAAAAGGGAUAUCGAACAAAUAUCCCCGAUGACGGUACCGUGAGAAUAAGCCACGGCUAACUCUGUGCCAGCAGCCGCGGUAAGACAGAGGUGGCAAGCGUUGUUCGGAAUUACUGGGCGUAAAGAGUCUGUAGGUGGUUUGUCAAGUCUUUGGUGAAAGGCCGUAGCUUAACUAUGGGAAUGCCAAAGAGACUGGCAGGCUGGAGGCUGGGAGAGGGAAGCGGAAUUUCUGGUGUAGCGGUGAAAUGCGUAGAUAUCAGAAGGAAGGCCGGUGGCGAAGGCGGCUUCCUGGAACAGUCCUGACACUGAGAGACGAAAGCGUG